AACAACGCUCAGCACGAACAUCCCUAAGAAAUUUAACUCCACCUUCUUCCGGAAUUCGAACAAUCGUCCAGAACGCGACCUUGCGUUAGCUUCAAAACGAAAAAAAUACGAAAAACUCACGUUAAAGAUUGAAACAACAAACUCACCUUCGGUGGCCGUUCAAAUCAACGUGAAUCUGAAAUCGUCUUCUCCGAUCUGUUUUGUCGUUGAUGACGCGUUGGAUGAACAAUGACGAUGAUGCUCCGAUUUGAAAUGUCAACGCAAGGUUAUGAUCAUCUCCUUUGGUUAUGCUCCGUCGUCAUCAUCCGUCGAUUCUGUUACGGCGUCGUUGCUUUGACGUCGCGUGGUACGCGUGUUACGAGUCGCUAUUGCUGAUGGGUUGCGUUGUGGGGUUGCAGUGAAGAGGGAAAGGCGUUGGAUCCUUUCUUUGAAGAGGGAAGGUAAUCGCUUCUGAGGCCCGUCGAAUCUCGAUCGAUGAAGACCUUUUCCCGAAACCGUGAGUUUUCUCCUUCCGUUUUGCGUUUUCCUCUUCUUUUGUUUCUGUUACGUUCUGUUGUUGAUUGGAGGAGAUUCCGUAAAAUUAUGCAGGUUGACGGAUUUUUAUGUGGACCUCAUUCAGAGCAGAUGGUGGAAGCUGGUGGUUAUUUGGAGAAGUUGGAGGAUUCCGCGGCGGGUUGCAGGGUGGAGGCGAAUGGGGGUUUGGUGGAUGUGAUUGUGAGGUUGAAGAAGUCGAUGAAGAGAAGUCAGCGUCAGUUCUGGGUUGCAAUGGAGAUGGAAAAAGAAAAAAAAAACGGGUGAAGAAACCAGUUCAGUUCUAUGGAGGUUGUUGAAGUUGUGGAGGUUAUGGAAAAUUGUGGAUUCAGUUAGGAAUUAGUUAGAUUCAAUGACAGUUGGCGACAGUUGGCGACAGUUGGAAUUGAUUAGGCGGUUAGGACGGUUGAAGAGAGUUGGAAUUCGGUUCGAGUUGGUUUCGACAGUUGCUAUUCAUCAUGGGAAGUUAUGGCACUUGGCAGGUUAGUUACCGAGUCGGUUCUCAUAUGAAGUUAGUCAUGGUUUCAGUGAGUGUUUCCAGUUCUCUAUUAUGCUAUGCUUCUAUUUUGCCUCCUUCUUUCCACUGUUAUGCUGUGGAUUCAAAUGGCUUAAUGUUGGAAAAGGUUGAUGUAUAUUUGUGUUUUUGCAGGCUAACGAUUUACGGUCUUUGUUACGGAGCUAUGGUCGGCAUGUUGUAAGGCUUGCAUUGGAUUAGAUUAUGUUGGAGGUGAUGAAAGCAUAAGUUUGAACUGAGUUAUGGUGAGGGAAGUUAGAAGCAGUUUUGAGCUAUGGUCGGCAUGUUGUAAGGCUUGCAUUGGAUUAGAUUAUGUUGGAGGUGAUGAAAGCAUAAGUUUGAACUGAGUUAUGGUGAGGGAAGUUAGAAGCAGUUUUGAAAUUGUUAUUAUUUUUUUUCAUGAAAUUUGCAGGUUAAAUGGGUUUGUUUGAAGUGUACGAUCCUUCCAACUGCAUGAAUGAGUCCACAAUGGGAGGUGCGACAAUGACAGUUGGUUCACCCAAGUUAAGCAAAUAUUGAGGAGAUUAUUCAUUGGGUACACUUGCCAUAUUAGCUCUCAAAACCUUGUUGCCGGCCGAUGUUCCUUUUUUAUGCUGUUAUUUGGAAUGCAUGGCCUGCAUGGAACGCAUGUUUUUAUGUAUGGAAAUAAUUGGAUUUGAAAUGUAUGAAUUGGUAUGGAUUAGUGUGUUUUUUGGGCUUUUGUUGUAAUUUUUGUGCAUUGAAUGUGUAAUGUAGGUAAUUGAAUUAGAAAUGUGAGGAAUCUGUGUAAUGUUUAAAUUGGAAUUGAAUACAUGUGAUUUUGGAAAUUGGCUUAUGUAAUGAAAGUGUAGUUUUGCAACUAAUGGUUGAAAUGUUUGUAGUGCAUUUGAAUUGUCAAUUAGAAAUAAUG
rnacentral:lncRNA from 1 species